CGUUGUGUGUGUGUGUGUGUGUGUGUGUGUCUCAGGGGAAGGUGAUAUAUUUAAAAAGACCUGACAAAUUUUCAGGAUUAUUUGUGGAGACUUCAAGGUGAGGAUCAGGAAAUAAAAUGCUUUUUUUGUGAGUUCAAGUUCUAAAUCUUGUUGACCUAUCACUUUAUU